GACGAACGCUGGCGGCGUGCCUAAUACAUGCAAGUCGAACGAAGCUGUUUUAACUGGUGCUUGCAUCGACUUAAACAACUGAGUGGCGAACGGGUGAGUAACACGUGGGUAACCUGCCCCAAAGCGGGGGAUAACAUUUGGAAACAGAUGCUAAUACCGCAUAACCACAGAAACCACAUGGUUUCUGUGUCAAAGAUGGUUUCGGCUAUCACUUUGGGAUGGACCCGCGGCGUAUUAGCUAGUUGGUAAGGUAAUGGCUUACCAAGGCAAUUAUACGUAGCCGAACAGAGAGGUUGAUCGGCCACAUUGGGACUGAGACACGGCCCAAACUCCUACGGGAGGCAGCAGUAGGGAAUCUUCCACAAUGGACGAAAGUCUGAUGGAGCAACGCCGCGUGAGUGAAGAAGGUUUUCGGAUCGUAAAACUCUGUUGUCAGAGAAGAACGUGUGCGAGAGUAACUGUUCGUGCAGUGACGGUAUCUGGCCAGAAAGCCACGGCUAACUACGUGCCAGCAGCCGCGGUAA
rnacentral:rRNA from 1 species